AUUGAACGCUGGCGGCAGGCCUAACACAUGCAAGUCGAACGGUAGCACAGAGAGCUUGCUCUCGGGUGACGAGUGGCGGACGGGUGAGUAACGUCUGGGAAACUGCCCAAUGGAGGGGGAUAACUACUGGAAACGGUAGCUAAUACCGCAUAACGUCACAAGACCAAAGUGGGGGACCUUCGGGCCUCACACCAUCGGAUGUGCCCAGAUGGGAUUAGCUAGUAGGUGGGGUAAUGGCUCACCUAGGCGACGAUCCCUAGCUGGUCUGAGAGGAUGACCAGCCACACUGGAACUGAGACACGGUCCAGACUCCUACGGGAGGCAGCAGUGGGGAAUAUUGCACAAUGGGCGCAAGCCUGAUGCAGCCAUGCCGCGUGUAUGAAGAAGGCCUUCGGGUUGUAAAGUACUUUCAGCGGGGAGGAAGGCGGUGAAGUUAAUAACUUCACCGAUUGACGUUACCCGCAGAAGAAGCACCGGCUAACUCCGUGCCAGCCGCCGCAGUAA
rnacentral:rRNA from 1 species